CAAUAGCGUAUAUUAAUGUUGUUGCAGUUAAAAAGCUCGUAGUUGGAUUUCGGUUGAGAACGGCCGGUCCGCCGUUUGGUGUGCACUGGCUGGUUUCAACUUCCUGUAGAGGACGCGCUCUGGCUUCACGGCUGGACGCGGAGUCUACGUGGUUACUUUGAAAAAAUUAGAGUGUUCAAAGCGGGCUUACGCUUGAAUAUUUCAGCAUGGAAUAACACUAUAGGACUCCUGUCCUAUUUCGUUGGUCUCGGGACGGGAGUAAUGAUUAAGAGGAACAGUUGGGGGCAUUCGUAUUUCAUUGUCAGAGGUGAAAUUCUUGGAUUUAUGAAAGACGAACUUCUGCGAAAGCAUUUGCCAAGGAUGUUUNCAUUAA
rnacentral:rRNA from 1 species